AGUGAACGCUGGCGGUAGGCCUAACACAUGCAAGUCGAACGGCAGCACAGUAAGAGCUUGCUCUUACGGGUGGCGAGUGGCGGACGGGUGAGGAAUACAUCGGAAUCUACUUUUUCGUGGGGGAUAACGUAGGGAAACUUACGCUAAUACCGCAUACGACCUACGGGUGAAAGCAGGGGAUCUUCGGACCUUGCGCGAUUGAAUGAGCCGAUGUCGGAUUAGCUAGUGGGCGGGGUAAAGGCCCACCAAGGCGACGAUCCGUAGCUGGUCUGAGAGGCUGAUCAGCCACGCUGGAACUGAGACACGGUCCAGACUCCUACGGGAGGCAGCAGUGGGGAAUAUUGGACAAUGGGCGCAAGCCUGAUCCAGCCAUACCGCGUGGGUGAAGAAGGCCUUCGGGUUGUAAAGCCCUUUUGUUGGGAAAGAAAAGCAGCAGGUUAAUACCCCGCUGUUCUGACGGUACCCAAAGAAUAAGCACCGGCUAACUUCGUG
rnacentral:rRNA from 1 species